GAAGAAAACAAACGUGAUUCCCCCAGUAGCGGCGAGCGACCGGGGAUAAGCCCAAACCGUUAUUGUUUCGGCAGUAGCGGGGUAGUAGGACUGCGACAUUGAUGAAAUAAAUGAAAUGGAACACUUUGGAAAAUGUGAUCACAGAGGGUGAUAAUCCCGUACAUGUAAGUUUAUGAAUCAUAGCAGACUCCUGAGUAAGUCGGGACACGUGUAAUCCUGACCGAAUCCGCCGGGACCAUCCGGCAAGGCUAAAUACUCCUGAGAGACCGAUAGUGAACCAGUACCGUGAGGGAAAGGUGAAAAGCACUUCGAACAGAAGAGUGAAAUAGUCCCUGAACCCAUACGCCUACAAGCUGUCGGAGCCGCUUCGUGCGGUGACGGCGUGCCUUUUGCAUAAUGAGCCUACGAGUUACUCAUCACCAGCGAGGUUAAGUACUUCAGGUACGUAAGCCGAAGCGAAAGCGAGUCUGAAUAGGGCGUCAAGUUGGUGGUGGUAGACGCGAAACCUUAGUGAUCUACCCAUGGGCAGGGUGAAGGUUUGGUAACACAAACUGGAGGCCCGAACCGGUAAACGUUGAAAAGUUUUCGGAUGACCUGUGGGUAGGGGUGAAAGGCCAAUCAAACUGGGAAAUAGCUCGUACUCUCCGAAAUGCAUUUAGGUGCAGCCUCUGUUGUUUUGUUCUAGAGGUAGAGCUACUGAUUGGAUGCGAGGGCUUCACCGCCUAUCAAAUCCGGCCAAACUCCGAAUGCUAGAACAUGAAGACAGGGAGUGAGCCAGCGGGUGCUAAGGUCCGUUGACGAAAGAGGGAGAACUCAGACCAUCAGCUAAGGUCCCCAAUUAUAUGCUAAGUUGGAAUAAAAACGGGGUGGGACUGCUUAGACAGCUAGGAUGUUGGCUUGGAAGCAGCCAUUCAUUUAAAGAGUGCGUAACAGCUCACUAGUCGAGCGGUCCUGCAUGGAUAAUACGCGGGCAUAAGCAUAUAACCGAAGCUAUGGGAUUGUAGAUGAUACAAUCGGUAGGAGAGCAUUCCAUUCAGCGUAGAAGCAGUAUCGUGAGGUAUUGUGGAGCGGAUGGAAAAGCAAAUGUAGGCAUAAGUAACGAUAAUGCGGGUGAGAACCCCGCACGCCGAAAGAUCAAGGAUUCCCCGGCAAUGUCAAUCAUCCGGGGGUAAGUCGGAUCCUAAGGGUAAGCCGAGUGGCGAUCCCGAUGGCAAACAGGUUAAUAUUCCUGUACUGAUCAUAACUGCGAUGCAGCGACGCAGAGGUGACACUGCUGCGUACUGACGGAAUAGUACGUUGAAACCCGUAUUCUUUGAUACCGGUAGUGAAGCACGCCGGUAGAGAUGAAAGGUGAUAGUACCGCAAUGCUUCGGUUGCGCGGAUAAUGCAGGUAAGCUGACUGCCAAGAAAACCUGCUAAGCUUCAGGUAAUGAUCAUCCGUACUGUAAACGGACACACGUGAUCAGGUAGAAAAUACUAAGGCGCUCGAGAGAUUCAUGGUUAAGGAACUAGGCAAAAUGGUCCUGUAACUUCGGGAUAAAGGACGCUCUUGUGAAAGAGCCGCAGAUAAUAGGCCCAGGCGACUGUUUACCAAAAACACAUGGCUAUGCUAAUUCGCAAGAAGAUGUAUAUGGCCUGACACCUGCCCGGUGCCGGAAGGUUAAGAGGAGAGCUCAGAGGUAACUCGAAGGUUUGAAUUGAAGCCCCGGUAAACGGCGGCCGUAACUAUAACGGUCCUAAGGUAGCGAAAUUCCUUGUCGGGUAAGUUCCGACCUGCACGAAUGGUGUAACGAUCUGGGUACUGUCUCAACCAUGAGCUCGGUGAAAUUGUAGUUCCGGUGAAGAUGCCGGAUACCCGCAACGGGACGGAAAGACCCCGUGAACCUUUACUGCAGCUUUGCAUUGAUUUUGGGUAACAGAUGUGUAGGAUAGGUCGGAGGCUUUGAUGCUGCGUCGUCAGGCGUAGAGUAGCCGUCGUUGAAAUACGACCCUUUUGUUAUCUGAGGUCUAAUCCCGUUAGGGAGACAUUGCAUGGUGGGUAGUUUGACUGGGGUGGUCGCCUCCAAAAGUGUAACGGAGGCUUCUCAAGGUACCCUCAAGGCGUUUGGUAAUCGUCUGCAGAGUGCAAUGGCAUAAGGGUGCUUGACUGUGAGACCGACACGUCGAUCAGGUUGGAAACAAGAGCAUAGUGAUCCGGUGGUUCCGCAUGGAAGGG
rnacentral:rRNA from 1 species